rnacentral:tRNA from 1 species
GGGGAUGUGGCUCAGUGGGUAGAGUGCCUGUUUCACAUGCAUGAAGUCCUGGGUUCUAUCCCCAGCACCA